rnacentral:tRNA from 1 species
GCCUGGGUGGCUCAGUCGGUUAAGCAUCUGACUUUGGCUCAGGUCACGAUCUCGCGGUCCGUGGGUUCGAGCCCCGCGUCGGGCU